rnacentral:rRNA from 1 species
UACGAAGGGGGCUAGCGUUGUUCGGAAUUACUGGGCGUAAAGCGCACGUAGGCGGAUUGCUAAGUCAGGGGUGAAAUCCUGGAGCUCAACUCCAGAACUGCCUUUGAUACUGGCGAUCUCGAGUCCGGGAGAGGUGAGUGGAACUGCGAGUGUAGAGGUGAAAUUCGUAGAUAUUCGCAAGAACACCAGUGGCGAAGGCGGCUCACUGGCCCGGUUCUGACGCUGAGGCGCGAAAGCGUGGGGAGCAAACAGG